rnacentral:lncRNA from 1 species
CAGCCUCCAAACACUCGUCACGCGGGAUCCCGUGUUCCCGUCACCCCCGAGAAGAUGGAGCCUCCUUUGGACUGGACCAAACUCCCCACAGAAAUGCCCCUGUGAGGCAAGACUCAGCUGUCCCCGGCCUCCUGACGGCAGCGUUCUUCUCUGCCUGGGACACAGGUCGAAGCUGCCUCAUAGAGAAUACAGAUAAGUAAGAAAACGAAAAUAAAAGCCGUUCCCCAGGCGGUGGCGUCCCCCCCGUCGAAGCGGCUCCCCAGGCGGCGGCGUCCGCCGGGUCAGCAUCCUACGUUCUCCAGUUCUUGUUACUCGUGGCUUUUCAGCGACUCUGGGGCCGCAUCGAGCCCCGGCUUUGUGCGGGAUGGGUAUGGCACACUCGGCCCGAGUCCAAACGCCGCCAGUCACUUGCUCUGAGAGGCUGGAUGAGCGACCUACCUUGAUGUCCUCGUUCGUAAAAUGGGUGACGGUUGCCAGGCCGGGGCGGCUGUGAGGCCCCGUGGGGGUGGCGUUUGGAGAACGCGCGCACACGCCCACCCUUCUGCAAGAACCCCGCAGACGAGAGCCUGUGCGCGCGCACAGGAGGCCCAGGGAGGAAGCCCCUCCCCGCCUGCCCUUGCCAUCCCGGAGGCCACAGCCGGACAGGCCCGUGGGACAGGCCCGUGGGACGCUUCUGCACAAGGUCUCUGACCUCCGGCCUCGCAGAAGAGGUCAGAGGGUGGCCCCUGCCUGUCACGCGCCCAUGGCGACCCCUCCCCAGAAGGGGUCCCAGCGUGGACUCCAGGCGCCACAUCGCUCUCUCAGGGCAUCCGGUCUGGGAAUUCUGGCCGCUCAAAAUAAGACUUCAGCGCUACUGGGUGCUACUGAAACCAAGCCUGAACAUGGGCCUUUCCCGGGGGUGAGGCCCCCCGGACCUGGCGCCCUCGGCCCGACAGCGGGGCCCCGCUCCGCCGCCCGCACCCGCCCAGCCCCAGGGAGCGCGGCCCGCACGGAACGCCCGGGGAGUGAAGGCUCAGAACACUCUCGAGGGGACGCUGAGGACCACGAACCGUGGACGCGCCGCGGCUUCCCUCCGAGGUCCGAGUUUUAAGUGAGACCAGCCAGCCGCACCCCAGAGUGUCCGCCCCGUCCCGGGGCCGCCGGGCCUGGCGACGCGAGGAUGCGGCGUGAGGAGGGUCCCGACGCCGGCGCCCGUCCCUCAGCCCCACACCCGGGAGCGCAUCCCGUCUCCACCGCGGGCGGCACGCGGCGGGGGCCUGCGGGGGCGCCCAGGACACUUACCCAGGGCCUGCGGGGCGCGGAGGCUCAGGCACACCCGCGGGGCAGCGCGCCCUGGCCAGGAGCUGUGGCGGCGGGUGCCGG